rnacentral:rRNA from 1 species
UACGUAGGUGGCAAGCGUUGUUCGGAUUCACUGGGCGUAAAGGGUGCGUAGGUGGUGAAGUAAGUCGGAUGUGAAAUCUCGGAGCUUAACUCCGAAACUGCAUUGGAAACUACUUUGCUCGAGGGUUGGAGGGGGGACUGGAAUUCUCGGUGUAGCAGUGAAAUGCGUAGAUAUCGAGAGGAACACCAGUGGCGAAGGCGAGUCCCUGGACAACUCCUGACACUGAGGCACGAAAGCUAGGGGAGCAAACAGG